CCUCGGGCUGCGCCUUCGCCGCCGCCGCCGCAACCUCCAGCACCGCCGCCCCAGGCCCCGCAGCCGCCGCGUCGCCGCCAUUUUUUAAAGGGUCCGCAGCCUGACUCUGCGGAGUAAGGGGGGGUGGAGCGGGGGAGUCGGCCUCGCCAGCGCGCAUGCGCGAGGCCCGAGCCGCCGCUUGGGUCACAGUGAAAGCCACCGUUGCCCGGGGAUGGGUCCCUGACACUUGGGGAAGUAGGAGCCCUGUGUGAUCGUGCGUCUGAGUCUGGGCUGAGACCAGUCCUGGCCAGGGCAGUUACCAGGACGGUCUCCGGAGGCCGGGAUUCGCGGAGGGUCCAGCAGCAGGAAGAAACCCCAGGAGGAAGAAACCUCAGACAGAUCGCCGGCGAGGCAGCGCGGGAUCCCAGCCUCAGGCGUGCGCGGACGGUGUGCGGGUGGAAACCCCCUUCCCAUGGGGUGAAGCGCAGUCUGCUCCAGAGACCCACUGUUAGGGUCGGGGAUGUCACAGAAAUUAACAGGGCAGCCAAUUCCCAUCCAGAGGGGCCCAGGAUGACCCCGAACCCUCUAGCUCAGCCCCAAGCUCGGGCCAGGGAGUGAAGCCUUUGUCCCCAAGCAACAGAGUGAGGGUCUGUCUCUAACCCGGUGGGCUCCAGUGAAAGGAAAAUGGCCUGGAGGUGCCCACAGGAGGGCGCCCUAGUUCUGAGACAGGUCUACGGCUCCCAGACUGCGUCCCCAUGAGUAACAGAGGGACACGCAGAGGGGCAUACUGAGUGCCUAUAGGGGACUCACAGACUGCAGAUGCACGCUGCGGAUCCAGAAGCCGGUCAGGUAAUGAGGUGCAGAGGUGUGGGGAAGACCUGGGUGCUUCCCUGGGUGCCAACCAGCCUAACCCGCCGGGGCCACCAAACAGAAGUGCUUCUGACAUUAACGCGACACACAGAAGGUGUGUAGGGUGGGUAGUGGAAGUGACCGCAGAGGCCUCUGGGGAUUGUAGUUUUGGAGCUAGAGAGGCGGGCAAGCAGUUGGCUUCGCCCACACGGUGUGCCUCUCACAUCUGCACAGCGCACACAACCAAGCUUAGGAGCCGACUGUUAAGAUGCCCCAGUGACACGGACAAGUUUCUCCUCUGCAACCCAAUGAGAGCUGCUGACCACGAGAGCAUCGCGGGACCGCCAAAGGAUUCUGGAAAAUGUGGUCCCGGGUGGCCAGUGUGCGCUGACCUUCACCUGAAGGUACGGCUUGAAGGAAACUUCUGGAGGGUGGGGUGGUGUUGAAGAGAAGGCACAAUUGUCACCAUUUUGUUCAACAUGGGCGUUUUCUUUGUGCAUUGAUUUGCAUUUUUAAAGGUAUUCCAUUAAAAAUAUGUUUAUCUAUUUUAAUGUUUUUUUUGGUGCCCCUUUAAAUUCUCUAUCCACAGUCCUGAGCCUUAAUACGAAGUGAGGGCCUGGCCUCUGGGCAUCAAGCAGCCAGAAAGUCCCUUAGGAGCUUUCUCUGAAUUGUUGAAUUGUGACUGAUCUUUUCCUUUCCUGACUUCCUUAAUAUCCACAAUUUCCUCGUAACCAUCCCCCCAAAGCCACACCCACAAGGCACCUCCAAGACCUAUCAUGAAGCAGAUAUUCAAAGAUUAUUUGUAAAUCUUCACACCCCACCCCUUCCAGAAUGUCUUCCAACAUCCCUUCGCCUGGAGAAAUAAAACACAAGGUUUGCAUGUUGAGUAUCAGCCUCUCCCAUUGGGUGGGUGUUUAGGAAAAAGAAUCAGCCAAGAGCCCUAUUCCAGCCCAGGUAAAUGACUUUGCCAAAGAUUUAAUAUCCACAAAUGUACAAUGCUCACUGGGAACCAAAGUCAGG
rnacentral:lncRNA from 10 species